CAGCCGUAAACUAUGCUCGCUAGGUGUCAGGCAUGGCGCGACCGUGUCUGGUGCCGCAGGGAAGCCGUGAAGCGAGCCACCUGGGAAGUACGGCCGCAAGGCUGAAACUUAAAGGAAUUGGCGGGGGAGCACCACAACAGGUGGAGCCUGCGGUUUAAUUGGACUCAACGCCGGGAAGCUCACCGGAUAAGACAGCGGAAUGAUUGCCGGGCUGAAGACUCUGCAUGACUAGCUGAGAGGAGGUGCAUGGCGUAGACGUGU
rnacentral:rRNA from 1 species